rnacentral:rRNA from 1 species
GACAGAGGCCUCGAGCGUUAGGCGGAAUCACUGGGCUUAAAGCGUGUGUAGGCGGGCCCGUAAGUGUCUUGUGAAAUCCCACGGCUCAACCGUGGAACUGCUGGGCAUACUGCGGGUCUUGGGCCAACUAGGGGCAGCCGGAACAAGCGGUGGAGCGGUGAAAUGCGUGGAUAUCGCUUGGAACGCCGAAGGUGAAAACAGGCUGCUGGGGUUGCGCCGACGCUGAGACACGAAAGCCAGGGGAGCAAACGGG